CUCCACGAGGAGACUGCGUGGCAGGCUGACUACCUAUUAUGCGAGUGCAGCAAGGAGCCAAGCGCACAAAGGAGUGAUGUGCUGCUGACUCCUUAUCACUCUGGGCACCAGAGGCCUAGCUCAAGGUUGAAAUCUUCUUGCAGCUGCAUAGGCUUUAAAGAACUCACCACUCCCCUCUCUUAGACAUGUGGGCUGUGAGGACUGGUGUACCAUGCUUUUUACGGAAGUGCAGCCAAAUACCCCUUCUCUCUCAUGUAAAAUUGCCUCCUUAUAAUGACUGUGUGUGACUCUGAAAUGUUUUGUUUGCUCUCAGAUUCAUCUUGAAUGUGAUCUUCCUUGGAAUUCUUGAAUAAACUAUUAUUAACU